rnacentral:rRNA from 1 species
GUAGGCAGCGAGCGUUGUUCGGAGUUACUGGGCGUAAAGAGUGCGUAGGCGGUGACCUAAGUCUGGUGUGAAAUCUCCCGGCUCAACUGGGAGGGUGCGCCGGAAACUGGGUUGCUAGAGUGUGGGAGAGGCUAGCGGAAUUCCUGGUGUAGCGGUGAAAUGCGUAGAUAUCAGGAGGAACACCUGCGGUGUAGACGGCUGGCUGGACCACUACUGACGCUGAGGCACGAAAGCGUGGGGAGCAAACAGGAUUAGAUACCCUGGUAGUCCACGCCCUAAACGAUGCAUACUUGGUGUGGGCAGUUCAUUCUGUCUGUGCCGGAGCUAACGCGUUAAAUAUGCCGCCUGGGGAGUACAGUCGCAAGGCUG